GAUGAACGCUGGCGGCGUGCCUAAUACAUGCAAGUCGAGCGAACAGACGAGGAGCUUGCUCCUCUGACGUUAGCGACGGACGGGUGAGUAACACGUGGAUAACCUACCUAUAAUACUGGGAUAACUUCGUGAAACCGGAGCUAAUACCGGAUAAUAUAUUGAACCGCAUGGUUCAAUAGUGAAAGACGGUUUUGCUGUCACUUAUAGAUGGAUCCGCGCCGCAUUAGCUAGUUGGUAAGGUAACGGCUUACCAAGGCAACGAUGCGUAGCCGACCUGAGAGGGUGAUCGGCCACACUGGAACUGGGACACGGUCCAGACUCCUACGGGGGGCAGCAGUAGGGAAUCUUCCGAAAUGGGCGAAAGCCUGACGGAGCAACGCCGCGUGGGUGAUGAAGGUCUUAGGAUCGUAAAAAUCUGUUAUUAGGGAAGAAAAACUGUGUAAGUAACUAUGCACGUAUUGACGGUACCUGAUCAGACAGCCACGGCUAACUCCGUG
rnacentral:rRNA from 1 species